GCAGGGUGAGGGCUGGCGAGACUGCCAGCCCAAGGGUGCCCUUCUGGAGGUUGGGGAACGUCUUCCUGGGCAGCAGCUUUAGUGGCCUCUGUGGGGAGGGGGAAGAAGAUGGGGUUGGUGAGGAAGGGCCUUGGGGACUCAUUCUGGUAGAGGCCGUGGGGGAGGGCAGGGGACUGGUUGGCCUAGCAGGGCUGGAGGGACUUGGAGGGUUGGUGGCUGCUGAGGCUGGGUCUCAGCAGGCCGGGAUGGGGCCAGGCACUGAGACUGGGGAAGGAACAAUGCUGUUGUGGUGAGUUUGGACAGCUGAGUCCGACAUCUCAUCAGAGCUGCAGGAGGAGAGAGAAGCCAGCAGGGGACCCCCAACCCCAAGUCCUACCUGAGGGGACUGGCGCAGCCUGGGCUGGAGAUGACCCCAAGCAGUAAGACUUUGACCCCGACGCAGGCUUCAGUGGUUGCCGUGGAUCAGAAGCCUGAGCGCUUUGGCUCGAGACAAUUAAGGACGUGGGAUGAGGCUCCGAGACAGGACGCGGUUCUGCCUGGGGACCCUGAAGAUAAAAAGCUUUCAAAAGUCGAAUUCAUGGUCGUGGAAGCCGAGCCCAUAUUAAGAGAUGUCAGGUUGGUAGGGGUUCCUGGCGUCUGCGGCAGAGCGGAGCUGGCUAGUCUCUCCGCGACCUUGGAUGAAGUCGAGGGACCCAGGCUGUGCGGGCAUCGGGCCUGAUUGCUGCCACCCGGCCCCCAGUGUGCUCUGGGCGAGGACAGGCAUCCCCCGAGGGAGGGUUUCCUGCAUGCCUGGCGGCAGAGCACAGCUGUGAUCAGGCCUGUCCGUGGCAUCUGCUGUUUCUGUCGGAAAGUGUCUGAGGGGCACAGAGGGGGUGCGGGGUCCGCAAGCACGAGGACGGAGCCCCACAUGGAACCCUGGAAGUCCCAGGUGUCCACCUGGCGUGCCCCAAGCAGGGCUGCCACCCUGUGGAGCUGUUUCUAAUAGUUGGUCUGUGUUCUCUGGCCCAGAAGUGCGGGCAGCCGGAAACAGCCCUGGGCUGAGGGGGUGCCGCAAAGCCUGCUCCAGCACGGGCCGUGUGACUGCGUGGCCUCCUGGGCAUGUCCACAAGCCCGCAAGGGCAGGUUGUCUGGUGGGACCCUGCUACAGUGGGUGGGGGUAGCUGGUGGAUGAUGCGAUGAGGCACCUUGGGUACCUGACUGGGGGGGCCUGGCGUCUUCACCUACUCCUCCUGGCUCCACUCACCCAGCACCCAGGAGUCCUCCCAGGCAGUUCGGAUGCAGCUACGUGAUCUGUUGUGGUUCCCAGUGUCGCAUUCUCACCACAGCACCAGCCCAAGUCCCCACGUUCACUGGCAGGGGCGGUUCAGACUUUGCAUGGAGAUGGCCCGUGAGCUCUGGGCCUGUGGGGUUCGCGUGUUCACACCUUCCUCAUCAAAAGUGAAGACCAAGGAUGCUGAGAGUAGAUGUCUACCCACUCCCUCAGAAACAGCAACGUCAACCCCUCACACAUGAGCAGUAGCCACCGCCCCUUGUGGUUAGGGAGCCAGACCAUGCGCUGUGUCACUGGGGUCUGCAGGAGGGCGACGUGUGGAGUGUCACCGGGGGGCUGCAGGAGGGGGACGU
rnacentral:lncRNA from 13 species